GGAUAUGAUGAUUGUUGAUUGUCGCCCCAGUCUUAAGCGUCGUUAUUUUUUUUCUAACGGCAGAUGGUGAUUGACUAUUUUGUUCUGAUCC
rnacentral:snoRNA from 1 species